rnacentral:misc_RNA from 1 species
GUGAGUCAUCGAAUCUUUGAACGCACAUUGCGCCCCUUGGUAUUCCAUGGGGCAUGCCUGUUCGAGCGUCAUUUGUACCUUCAAGCUCUGCUUGGUGUUGGGUGUUUGUCCCGCCUUUGCGCGUGGACUCGCCUUAAAUUCAUUGGCAGCCGACAAUUUGGUGCAAGAGUGCAGCACAAUUUGCGCUCUUCCCCAUGCUGUUGGCGUCCAUCAAGCCUACAUUUUUGCGCUUGACCUCGGAUCAGGUAGGGAUACCCGCUGAACUUAAGCAUAUCAAUAAGCGGAGGA